GGUUAAGCGACUAAGCGUACACGGUGGAUGCCCUGGCAGUCAGAGGCGAUGAAGGACGUGCUAAUCUGCGAUAAGCGUCGGUAAGGUGAUAUGAACCGUUAUAACCGGCGAUUUCCGAAUGGGGAAACCCAGUGUGAUUCGUCACACUAUCAUUAACUGAAUCCAUAGGUUAAUGAGGCGAACCGGGGGAACUGAAACAUCUAAGUACCCCGAGGAAAAGAAAUCAACCGAGAUUCCCCCAGUAGCGGCGAGCGAACGGGGAGCAGCCCAGAGCCUGAAUCAGUGUGUGUGUUAGUGGAAGCGUCUGGAAAGGCGCGCGAUACAGGGUGACAGCCCCGUACACAAAAAUGCACAUGCUGUGAGCUCGAUGAGUAGGGCGGGACACGUGGUAUCCUGUCUGAAUAUGGGGGGACCAUCCUCCAAGGCUAAAUACUCCUGACUGACCGAUAGUGAACCAGUACCGUGAGGGAAAGGCGAAAAGAACCCCGGCGAGGGGAGUGAAAAAGAACCUGAAACCGUGUACGUACAAGCAGUGGGAGCACGCUUAGGCGUGUGACUGCGUACCUUUUGUAUAAUGGGUCAGCGACUUAUAUUCUGUAGCAAGGUUAACCGAAUAGGGGAGCCGAAGGGAAACCGAGUCUUAACUGGGCGUUAAGUUGCAGGGUAUAGACCCGAAACCCGGUGAUCUAGCCAUGGGCAGGUUGAAGGUUGGGUAACACUAACUGGAGGACCGAACCGACUAAUGUUGAAAAAUUAGCGGAUGACUUGUGGCUGGGGGUGAAAGGCCAAUCAAACCGGGAGAUAGCUGGUUCUCCCCGAAAGCUAUUUAGGUAGCGCCUCGUGAAUUCAUCUCCGGGGGUAGAGCACUGUUUCGGCAAGGGGGUCAUCCCGACUUACCAACCCGAUGCAAACUGCGAAUACCGGAGAAUGUUAUCACGGGAGACACACGGCGGGUGCUAACGUCCGUCGUGAAGAGGGAAACAACCCAGACCGCCAGCUAAGGUCCCAAAGUCAUGGUUAAGUGGGAAACGAUGUGGGAAGGCCCAGACAGCCAGGAUGUUGGCUUAGAAGCAGCCAUCAUUUAAAGAAAGCGUAAUAGCUCACUGGUCGAGUCGGCCUGCGCGGAAGAUGUAACGGGGCUAAACCAUGCACCGAAGCUGCGGCAGCGACGCUUAUGCGUUGUUGGGUAGGGGAGCGUUCUGUAAGCCUGCGAAGGUGUGCUGUGAGGCAUGCUGGAGGUAUCAGAAGUGCGAAUGCUGACAUAAGUAACGAUAAAGCGGGUGAAAAGCCCGCUCGCCGGAAGACCAAGGGUUCCUGUCCAACGUUAAUCGGGGCAGGGUGAGUCGACCCCUAAGGCGAGGCCGAAAGGCGUAGUCGAUGGGAAACAGGUUAAUAUUCCUGUACUUGGUGUUACUGCGAAGGGGGGACGGAGAAGGCUAUGUUGGCCGGGCGACGGUUGUCCCGGUUUAAGCGUGUAGGCUGGUUUUCCAGGCAAAUCCGGAAAAUCAAGGCUGAGGCGUGAUGACGAGGCACUACGGUGCUGAAGCAACAAAUGCCCUGCUUCCAGGAAAAGCCUCUAAGCAUCAGGUAACAUCAAAUCGUACCCCAAACCGACACAGGUGGUCAGGUAGAGAAUACCAAGGCGCUUGAGAGAACUCGGGUGAAGGAACUAGGCAAAAUGGUGCCGUAACUUCGGGAGAAGGCACGCUGAUAUGUAGGUGAAGUCCCUCGCGGAUGGAGCUGAAAUCAGUCGAAGAUACCAGCUGGCUGCAACUGUUUAUUAAAAACACAGCACUGUGCAAACACGAAAGUGGACGUAUACGGUGUGACGCCUGCCCGGUGCCGGAAGGUUAAUUGAUGGGGUUAGCGCAAGCGAAGCUCUUGAUCGAAGCCCCGGUAAACGGCGGCCGUAACUAUAACGGUCCUAAGGUAGCGAAAUUCCUUGUCGGGUAAGUUCCGACCUGCACGAAUGGCGUAAUGAUGGCCAGGCUGUCUCCACCCGAGACUCAGUGAAAUUGAACUCGCUGUGAAGAUGCAGUGUACCCGCGGCAAGACGGAAAGACCCCGUGAACCUUUACUAUAGCUUGACACUGAACAUUGAGCCUUGAUGUGUAGGAUAGGUGGGAGGCUUUGAAGUGUGGACGCCAGUCUGCAUGGAGCCGACCUUGAAAUACCACCCUUUAAUGUUUGAUGUUCUAACGUUGACCCGUAAUCCGGGUUGCGGACAGUGUCUGGUGGGUAGUUUGACUGGGGCGGUCUCCUCCUAAAGAGUAACGGAGGAGCACGAAGGUUGGCUAAUCCUGGUCGGACAUCAGGAGGUUAGUGCAAUGGCAUAAGCCAGCUUGACUGCGAGCGUGACGGCGCGAGCAGGUGCGAAAGCAGGUCAUAGUGAUCCGGUGGUUCUGAAUGGAAGGGCCAUCGCUCAACGGAUAAAAGGUACUCCGGGGAUAACAGGCUGAUACCGCCCAAGAGUUCAUAUCGACGGCGGUGUUUGGCACCUCGAUGUCGGCUCAUCACAUCCUGGGGCUGAAGUAGGUCCCAAGGGUAUGGCUGUUCGCCAUUUAAAGUGGUACGCGAGCUGGGUUUAGAACGUCGUGAGACAGUUCGGUCCCUAUCUGCCGUGGGCGCUGGAGAACUGAGGGGGGCUGCUCCUAGUACGAGAGGACCGGAGUGGACGCAUCACUGGUGUUCGGGUUGUCAUGCCAAUGGCACUGCCCGGUAGCUAAAUGCGGAAGAGAUAAGUGCUGAAAGCAUCUAAGCACGAAACUUGCC
rnacentral:rRNA from 1 species